CAGUAGCCACGGUAAUACGUAGGGGGCAAGCGUUAUCCGGAAUUAUUGGGCGUAAAGAGUGCGUAGGUGGUCUACUAAGCGCGAGGUGAAAGGCAAUGGCUCAACCAUUGUUAGCCUUGCGAACUGGCAGACUUGAGUGCAAGAGAGGAAAGCGGAAUUCCUAGUGUAGCGGUGAAGUGCGCAGAUAUUAGGAGGAACACCGGCGGCGAAGGCGGCUUUCUGGAUUGUAACUGACACUGAGGCACGAAAGCGUGGGUAGCAAACAGGAUUAGAUACCCCUGUAGUCCCUGUCUCUUAUACC
rnacentral:rRNA from 1 species